GACGGGGGGUGCAAGCGUUAUCCGGAAUGAUUGGGCGUAAAGCGUCCGCAGGUGGUUGUGUGUGUCUAUUGUCAAAGCAUCAUGCUUAACAUGAUAAAGGCAGUAGAAACUACACGACUAGAGUGCGUUCGGGGCAGAGGGAAUUCCUGGUGUAGCGGUGAAAUGCGUAGAGAUCAGGAAGAACACCGGUGGCGAAAGCGCUCUGCUAGGCCGCAACUGACACUGAGGGACGAAAGCUAGGGGAGCGAAUGGG
rnacentral:rRNA from 1 species